CAGCUUUAGCCAUCUCUAUUCCUAUAACUAGACCCAGGCCUAUAUCCCUUUAGUCAUUUCUCUUCCUCUCUCUUUCUUUCUAUUCUCUUCUGGUUUUGAUCGCUGGAAGCUCACUGAUUUUUUCUCUGAAUCAAGAACCUUUUUUUUUUGGCCAAAAAUCUCUUCGAUCCCACACUAAUUUUCUCAAUCGACUCUGAUUUUUUCUCUGUCUCUUUGAUGAUAAUCCAAUCUCUCUAUUCAUUUUUUAUUUCUCUUUUUUCAGGAAUUGAGAAAAUCUCUGCAAUGAUCUUAUGUUGUAGCAUCUGCCCAACCCUUUCAUUUGGUUUCAUCAAUGGAGGUAGCUUCAGAUUCCAUGAAAACAAAAAUAUGAAAUCAAGAAACUGCAAAAAAAAAAAUAUGAGCUUCAGAUUUCUGUGCUCUGGUGAUAACGGAUUCAGACAAGACAUGAAGAAGAUCAUAAUCAACUUGGAGGCGCCUGAAAUCUACUCACUGGAUAAAACUGGACAGAAAGAUCCACUGCAAAGGCGUCAAAAGAAAAUGUCUUGUUGCAGAUAAUUCAUGGAAAGGCUCAUCUAAAGUGUUCUGGUGGGAACUUUGAUGCUUUUGCUUUGAUCAUUGAUGGAAAAUUACUUGCUUAUGCGUUGGAUGAUAUAAAGCACAUCUUCUAAGAGCCAGCUAUUAUCUGUGCUUCAGUCAGUUGUUGGUUGGUUUAUUCUUGGGUUUUAAUGUAAUGAUGAGUAUUCUUGAUUAUGUAUAGGUUAACAAAAUGAUAUAGGUGGUUAUUGUAAAUUUAAUCUGAAAUUACUAUAAAAAUCUGGUUAUACUAUUAGUAAUGCCGUAUGUAAUUCUUCUAAACCGGAUAACCAAAUGAAAAUGCUAAACAAUUGUG